rnacentral:rRNA from 1 species
CAGCCGCCGCGGUAAUACGUAGGGUGCGAGCGUUAAUCGGAAUUACUGGGCGUAAAGCGUGCGCAGGCGGUUGUGUAAGACAGGUGUGAAAUCCCCGGGCUUAACCUGGGAACUGCGCUUGUGCCUGCACAGCUAGAGUAUGGCAGAGGGGGGUGGAAUUCCACGUGUAGCAGUGAAAUGCGUAGAGAUGUGGAGGAACACCGAUGGCGAAGGCAGCCCCCUGGGCCAAUACUGACGCUCAUGCACGAAAGCGUGGGGAGCAAACAGGAUUAGAUACCCGAGUAGUCCCUGUCUCUUAUAC